rnacentral:rRNA from 1 species
AUACGUAGGGGGCGAGCGUUGUCCGGAAUGAUUGGGCGUAAAGGGCGCGUAGGCGGCCCGGUAAGUCUGGAGUGAAAGUCCUGUUUUUAAGAUGGGAAUUGCUUUGGAUACUGUCGGGCUUGAGUGCAGGAGAGGUAAGUGGAAUUCCCAGUGUAGCGGUGAAAUGCGUAGAGAUUGGGAAGAACACCGGUGGCGAAGGCGGCUAUCUGGACAGUAACUGACGCUGAGGCGCGAAAGCGUGGGGAGCAAACAGGAUUAGAUGCCCUGGUAGUCCACGCCGUAAACGAUGAAUACUAGGUGUAGGGGGUAUCGACUCCCUCUGUGCCGCAGUUAACACAAUAAGUAUUCCGCCUGGGGAGUACGGCCGCAAGGUUGAAACUCAAAUGAAUUGACGGGG